rnacentral:rRNA from 1 species
UACAGAGGGGGCAAGCGUUGUUCGGAAUUACUGGGCGUAAAGGGCGCGUAGGCGGCCUUCUAAGUCAGACGUGAAAUCCCCCGGCUUAACCUGGGAACUGCGUCUGAUACUGGGAGGCUUGAGUAUGGGAGAGGGAUGUAGAAUUCCAGGUGUAGCGGUGAAAUGCGUAGAUAUCUGGAGGAAUACCGGUGGCGAAGGCGGCAUCCUGGACCAUAACUGACGCUGAGGCGCGAAAGCUAGGGGAGCAAACGGG